AGGAAUUGAAAGAGACAGAGCCUAAGGAUACAUGGGAAAGGUGGCCAGGAGUCUUGAGAGUCAGAUUCUGGGAGAGUUAACCUGCAAACCGAAUUCAUUCUAGAACUGGACAAAAUCAUUCUACACGUCCUUUAUAUUUUCAAGGCCAAAGGCAAAGAUUGAAACAGACACAUCAAUGGUUGAUGAACAGCAGUUCUCCAUGGCCUUCCACUCCUCGGAGAGGACCCCACAGAUUUUACAAGACAUGUUUUGACUGUGAUAGCGAUGAAGAAAUGUCCCACAUUUCCAUUGGCAUGAGGACUCUCGCACCUUUGCUUACUCACUGCAAUUAUUUUAGAAGGUACCGUUGCAGUGGAUAACCUUGAAAAUCUUCCCCAAGCCAUGUACUUGCUGAUCUACAGGUGUGCACUGAAUUUGGAGUAUCCUCCAGUAUUAAAUCACACCCAUGAUUUCAUUCAAAGGGUGAUUUUGUCAUUUGGGCUUAAGUCCCUCAAACUGAAAAUACAAUCGCUUAAAAAUCUUCUGAUGCAGUAACGUCAUUGUGGCAUGAUGGAGCAUUUUUCAGUGUAACGAUUCAUGACAUCACUAAAGGAUGUGUUCUGUUUCCUGUUGGAAAACUGGUUGUUUGCUUAAUAAUGUUAAAUGAAUAGUUCACCCAAAAUUGAAAAUUCUCUCAUGAUUUAUUUAUCUUUAAGCCAUCCCAGAUGUGUAUGACUUUCCUUCUUCAACAGAACCGAAGUGAAGAUUUAUAAACACAUUUCAGCUCAGUUUGUCCAUACAAUGCAUGUAAAUGGGUGACAUCAGUCUGCUGGCUGUUUGACGGUUCAAAAGGAAUAUUUAGGCAGCAUAAGUCAUCCACAUGACUCCAGUCGAUCACUUAAUGUCUUCUGAAGCAAAUCGAUAAGUUGGUGUAAGAAACAAAUUGACACUUAAAACAUUUUUAAUUUUAAAUCGUUGAUUCCGCCCAACGCUGAUUCCUGUUUGAAAUGACCUAACUCUCACGUGACGUUCGUUCCUCUGUUGUGUACAAAGUGCACGCUUCUGACUCCUAGCGUUAACGCACCGUAGCGCUUACGUCACUGAUGCGUCGACUGCUGACAGGAAGCUAUUUUUUUUUUAUUUUAUUUAUUUUAUUUUUUUUUUAAAGUUAAAGUUUUAAUGAUCUAUUUAUUUUUUUACACAAACUAUUGAUUUGGUUCAGAAGACAUUACUUGAUCAACUGGAGUUGUGUGGAUUACUUUUAUGCUGCCUAAA